rnacentral:rRNA from 1 species
UACGUAGGGUGCAAGCGUGGUCCGGAAUUAUUGGGCGUAAAGGGCUCGUAGGCGGUCUGUCACGUCGGGAGUGAAAACUCAGGGCUUAACCCUGAGCCUGCUUCCGAUACGGGCAGACUAGAGGUAUGCAGGGGAGAACGGAAUUCCUGGUGUAGCGGUGAAAUGCGCAGAUAUCAGGAGGAACACCGGUGGCGAAGGCGGUUCUCUGGGCAUUACCUGACGCUGAGGAGCGAAAGUGUGGGGAGCGAACAGG